GCGGGAUUAGUUGAGCGGUUCAACUUCUGCUUUCCAAGCAGACAAGACGGGUUCGACUCCCGUAUCCCGCUCCU
rnacentral:tRNA from 1 species